rnacentral:rRNA from 1 species
CAGUUUGUUGGUGAGGUAAUGGCUCACCAAGACGAUGACGGGUAGCCGGCCUGAGAGGGCGACCGGCCACACUGGGACUGAGACACGGCCCAGACUCCUACGGGAGGCAGCAGUGGGGAAUAUUGCACAAUGGGCGAAAGCCUGAUGCAGCGACGCCGCGUGGGGGAUGACGGCCUUCGGGUUGUAAACCUCUUUCAGUAGGGAAGAAGCGAAAGUGACGGUACCUGCAGAAGAAGCGCCGGCUAACUACGUGCCAGCAGCCGCGGUAAUACGUAGGGCGCAAGCGUUGUCCGGAAUUAUUGGGCGUAAAGAGCUCGUAGGUGGCUUGUCGCGUCUGCCGUGAAAACCCGAGGCUCAACCUCGGGCGUGCGGUGGGUACGGGCAGGCUAGAGUGUGGUAGGGGAGACUGGAACUCCUGGUGUAGCGGUGAAAUGCGCAGAUAUCAGGAAGAACACCGAUGGCGAAGGCAGGUCUCUGGGCCAUUACUGACACUGAGGAGCGAAAGCAUGGGUAGCGAACAGGAUUAGAUACCCUGGUAGUCCAUGCCGUAAACGUUGGGCACUAGAUGUGGGGGACAUUCCACGUUUUCCGCGUCGUAGCUAACGCAUUAAGUGCCCCGCCUGGGGAGUACGGCCGCAAGGCUAAAACUCAAAGGAAUUGACGGGGGCCCGCACAAGCGGCGGAGCAUGCUGAUUAAUUCGAUGCAACGCGAAGAACCUUACCAAGGCUUGACAUGCACCGGACGGCCGCAGAGAUGUGGCUUUCUUCGGACUGGUGCACAGGUGGUGCAUGGUUGUCGUCAGCUCGUGUCGUGAGAUGUUGGGUUAAGUCCCGCAACGAGCGCAACCCUUGUUCUAUGUUGCCAGCACGUCAUGGUGGGGACUCAUAGGAGACUGCCGGGGUCAACUCGGAGGAAGGUGGGGACGACGUCAAAUCAUCAUGCCCCUUAUGUCUUGGGCUUCAAGCAUGCUACAAUGGUCGGUACAAUGGGUUGCGAAACUGUGAGGUGGAGCGAAUCCCAAAAAGCCGGCCUCAGUUCGGAUUGGGGUCUGCAACUCGACCCCAUGAAGUCGGAGUCGCUAGUAAUCGCAGAUCAG